GACGAACGCUGGCGGCGUGCUUAACACAUGCAAGUCGAACGAUGACCAGGAGCUUGCUCCUGUGAUUAGUGGCGAACGGGUGAGUAACACGUGAGUAACCUGCCCCUGACUCUGGGAUAAGCGUUGGAAACGACGUCUAAUACUGGAUAUGAUCACUGGCCGCAUGGUCUGGUGGUGGAAAGAUUUUUUGGUUGGGGAUGGACUCGCGGCCUAUCAGCUUGUUGGUGAGGUAAUGGCUCACCAAGGCGACGACGGGUAGCCGGCCUGAGAGGGUGACCGGCCACACUGGGACAGAGACACAGCCCAGACUCCUACGGGAGGCAGCAGUGGGGAAUAUUGCUCAAUGGGCGCAAGCCUGAUGCAGCGACGCCGCGUGAGGGAUGACGGCCUUCGGGUUGUAAACCUCUUUUAGUAGGGAAGAAGCGAAAGUGACGGUACCUGCAGAAAAAGCACCGGCUAACUACGUGCCAGCAGCCGCGGUAA
rnacentral:rRNA from 1 species